rnacentral:rRNA from 1 species
GAAAGUACCUUCGGGUGCGAGUAAACUGGCGAACGGGUGAGUAACGUGUAGGUAAUUUGCCUACGAGUGGGGAAUAGGUCCGGGAAACCGGAAUUAAUACCGCAUAACGUCAUGCUCCGAUGGGAGUGUGAUCAAAGGUGGGGACCUUCGGGCCCAUCGCUUGUAGAUAAGCCUGCAUCUGAUUAGUUAGUUGGUAGGGUAACGGCCUACCAAGACCGCGAUCAGUAGCUGUUCUAAGAGGAAGAUCAGCCACAUUGGGACUGAGAUACGGCCCAGACUCCUACGGGAGGCAGCAGUGAGGAAUUUUGCGCAAUGGGAGAGAUCCUGACGCAGCAACGCCGCGUGACCGAUUGAAGCUUUUAGGAGUGUAAAGGUCUGUCGUGAGGGAAGAAAAAGACCGAGAAUAAUAAGUUCGGUAAUUGACGGUACCUCACAAGCAAGCUCCGGCUAACUUCGUGCCAGCAGCCGCGGUAAUACGAGGGGAGCAAGCGUUGUCCGAAAUAACUGGGCGUAAAGGGUACGUAGGCUUUUUUGUAUGUUUCCGGUGAAAUUCACAGGCUCAACUUGUGACUUGCCGGAAAAACUGCAGAGAUUGAAUCCGGAAGGGGAAAGCGGAAUUCCUGGUGUAGCGGUGAAAUGCGUAGAUAUCAGGAGGAACACCAGUGGCGAAGGCGGCUUUCUGGUCCGGAAUUGACGCUGAGGUACUAAAGCGUGGGUAGCAAACAGGAUUAGAUACCCUGGUAGUCCACGCCCUAAACGAUGGAUACUUGAUGUCGGGAUGUUCGGUCGUCUCGGUGUCGUAGCUAACGUGUUAAGUAUCCCGCCUGGGGACUACGGUCGCAAGACUGAAACUCAAAGGAAUUGACGGGGCCCCGCACAAGCAGUGGAGCAUGUUGAUUAAUUCGAUGAUACGCGAGGAACCUUACCAGGUCUUGACAUAUAUCUGACGCACAUAGAGAUAUGUGUUCUCUUUUGAGCAGAUAUACAGGUGCUGCAUGGUUGUCGUCAGCUCGUGCCGUGAGGUGUUGGGUUAAGUCCCGCAACGAGCGCAACCCCUAUUCUUUGUUGCUAACGGGUAAUGCUGAGCACUCGAAGGAAACUGCCGGUGACAAACCGGAGGAAGGUGGGGAUGAGGUCAAAUCAUCACGGCCCUUAUGACCUGGGCUUCAAACGUGCUACAAUGGGUGGUACAAAGAGUAGCCAACCUGUGAAGGGGAGCCAAUCUCAAAAAGCCACCCCAAGUUCGGAUUGGAGUCUGCAACUCGACUCCAUGAAGUUGGAAUUGCUAGUAAUCGCACAUCACCAUGGUGCGGUGAAUAUGUUCCC